GCUCCGGUAGUGUAACCCGGCUCUCUAAAGGCCGAAAGCAUACGAGCCUCUCGAGCUCGUGGUCCGGGUUCAAAUCCCGGCCGGAGCACCA
rnacentral:tRNA from 1 species